AGAGUUUGAUUAUGGCUCAGGAUGAACGCUAGCUACAGGCUUAACACAUGCAAGUCGAGGGGCAGCAUGAUCAAAGCUUGCUUGAUUGAUGGCGACCGGCGCACGGGUGAGUAACGCGUAUCCAACCUUCCCCUUAGUAGGGCAUAGCCCGGCGAAAGUCGGAUUAAUACCCUAUGUUAUCCGAAGAGGACAUCUGAUUUGGAUUAAAGAUUCAUCGCUAAGGGAUGGGGAUGCGUCCGAUUAGGCAGUCGGCGGGGUAACGGCCCACCGAGCCGUCGAUCGGUAGGGGUUCUGAGAGGAAGGUCCCCCACACUGGUACUGAGACACGGACCAGACUCCUACGGGAGGCAGCAGUGAGGAAUAUUGGUCAAUGGGCGCGAGCCUGAACCAGCCAAGUAAGCGUGCAGGAAGACGGCCCUACGGGUUGUAAACUGCUUUUAUGCGGGGAUAAAGUGAGGGACGUGUCCCUUAUUGCAGGUACCGCAUGAAUAAGGACCGGCUAAUUCCGUGCCAGCCGCCGC
rnacentral:rRNA from 1 species